rnacentral:rRNA from 1 species
UACGUAGGGUCCGAGCGUUGUCCGGAAUUAUUGGGCGUAAAGGGCUCGUAGGCGGUUCGUCACGUCGGGAGUGAAAACUCGGAGCUUAACUCCGAGCCUGCGUCCGAUACGGGCAGACUAGAGGUAGGCAGGGGAGAGCGGAACUCCUGGUGUAGCGGUGAAAUGCGCAGAUAUCAGGAAGAACACCCGUGGCGAAGGCGGCUCUCUGGGACGGUACUGACGCUGAGACGCGAAAGCGUGGGGAGCGAACAGG